rnacentral:rRNA from 1 species
AUUGAACGCUGGCGGCAUGCCUUACACAUGCCAGUCGAACGGCAGCACGGGUGCUUGCCCCUGGUGGCGAGUGGCGAACGGGUGAGUAAUACAUCGGAACAUGUCCUGUAGUGGGGGAUAGCCCGGCGAAAGCCGGAUUAAUACCGCAUACGAUCUACGGAUGAAAGCGGGGGACCUUCGGGCCUCGCGCUAUAGGGUUGGCCGAUGGCUGAUUAGCUAGUUGGCGGGGUAAAGGCCUACCAAGGCGACGAUCAGUAGCUGGUCUGAGAGGACGACCAGCCACACUGGGACUGAGACACGGCCCAGACUCCUACGGGAGGCAGCAGUGGGGAAUUUUGGACAAUGGGCGAAAGCCUGAUCCAGCAAUGCCGCGUGUGUGAAGAAGGCCUUCGGGUUGUAAAGCACUUUUGUCCGGAAAGAAAUCCUUGGCCCUAAUACGGUCGGGGGAUGACGGUACCGGAAGAAUAAGCACCGGCUAACUACGUG